CAGCUCUCCCCAGGGAAUUUCGCUGGUUUACAAAAAGUAGUGCAUUCAUAGUCAAUCUUGCUUUUUGCUUGCUGCUUUUUAAAUGCCUUUAGUUCAGACUGUCCCAUCUGCCAGACCUCUGCAGUCAGCAAAGAGAGCCCAGGCAGCAGUUCAAGUUGGAAGAAGCCAGAAUCCCCUGCCCUGCUACAUCUUAAAUCAGAGUUUUGGAGCUGCUUCUGAGACCAGGAGACAGCAGGUAGGUGUGUCUCUAAGACACCUUUCUCUAGCCAUAUUUCUGUAAGGAGUUAGAUAUUAAGUAUUUUCUAUUGUUCUAUGGUGUGGUUGAAGAUGAAGCUGUAUUUGGCUGUGACAAUAAAACUUAAUGUAUGUUCUGGGGAGAUGGUUCAGUUGGUAAAGUGCUUGCCAUGCAAGUAUGAGGACCUAAGUGUUUGAUCCUUAGAAUCCACAUCAAAAAGCCACACUCUGUGACAGAUGCUUGCAAUUCCAAUGCUGGGGAGAUGGAGAAAUGAGGCUCACUGGUGCUCACUACCCAGUUACCUUAGCUUACUUAGUUAGCAAUGACAGGCCCUGCCUCAUAAUAAGGUGGACAAUGACUGAAGAAUAAUACCUGAGACUGUCCUCUGACCUCUGCAAACACACACACACACACACACACACACACUAUACACACAUACACACUACAUGCACAUUACACACACAUUAUACAUACAUACACACACCACACACAUUACACACACACACACACACUAUACACACAUACACACUACAUGCACAUUACACACACAUUAUACAUACAAACACACACCACACACAUUACACACACACACUACACACACACACAACACAAACAUAUACACACACAUUAUAGACUACACACACAUAUUAUACAUACGUACACACCACAUAGACAUUAUACAACAUACACAUACCGCACACAUUAUACACACAUAUACACUACACAUACACACACUGCACACAUAAACAAUACACACACAUACACAUACCACACACAUUAUACACACAUACACACUACACAUACACACACUGCACACAUAAACAAUACACACACAUACAUACUAUACACACACUACAAACACACACAAACAAUACACACACACUAUGCGCAUACACUACACAUACACAGAUUCACACAUUAUACACACACAUAUACAUUAUACACAUAUUACACACACAUUAUUAUCACACAUACACACUAUACACACAUUAUAUACACAUACACACUACACACACACACUACACACACACACACACACACACACACAUACACACACACACACGUAAAUAUGGGCCAUAUAACUUCAUGUAAUUUGUCAUGGACCAGUAUUAUAGUUGGUGGUAAACCUUUGGAAAUAUAAAAAUAGCUAUGAAUGCUGUAAAAAUAAGAGGUUAUGUGCUGCUCUUCCACAGUGUGAGAAGACCUUCUGUCUGGUCAAGUAGUUUUGGACAUCUGAGACUUUUCUAGAAACAAUGUAAAAUUUGCACAUACACACAUACUCUAUUUUCCCCAAACAAAGGUAGUCUUUGCUGGAUGUGCUGGUUCACACCUAUAAAACUAGCACUUGGAAUGCAGAAGCAAGUUGGAAUUCAAUGCCAGCCUGGACUACAGCCUGAGACUUAUCUCAGGAAACAAAACAAACAAACCUUGUCACAAUGCUGAUGUUGUGGUUUGCCCUGGUUACUGUAUUUUGAUGCUAAUUCCACUGCCCCAAGGACAGCUGCCUAGUCAAGGACUCAGAACUCAGGUAACUUCACCAGAGCCACCUCCCCAUUGAAUUUGUAAAGUACUGGUGAGGGGCAGGUACAGGAUAGAAGGAGGCCUGUCAUUGGAGGAGAAGGAAGGAUGGGUGGGAGAGAAGUUUGAAGGAAGAGGAGGAGACUAGGGGAGAGAGAAGAGAGAGGGAGAGAGGGGAGAAGCCUUGGCAGGACAAGAUGGCAGGUGAUGUUAAGAUUCUGCUCUGUGUAUUUACAGGUUGUUAUUAACGUUCUCAAGGGAUGGAUAGUACUGGGCUUUGUAUGUUUAAGUGGGCAAUUAUAUCAUACCAAUUGGGUCAAAGAUUAUUGUGUUGUAUGUUCUUUUAUGUGAGGGUUUGAGAGUAGGAAAGUGUGCGGUUGAGCUGUGUUUCCGCCAAGAUAUUUAGCAGAUACCUUGGGCACCAUGGUGUGGACCAAGCGGAUAAAAGACAACUACUCUUAAUUAUUUUUAUAUUUUUACAACAACAAGAUGGCGCCCAAUGUGGGGCACCAUCUGUUGUUGUAUAAAUAUAAAAAUAAUAAGGAAUAACAGUGUCUUUUGCCCCACUAGGUCCUCACUGCGGUGCCCCAAGAUAUCUGCUAGAUAUCUUGGUGGAAACACAGCCCAGCCGCACACUUUCUUACACUCAAACCCUCACAUAAAAGAACACACAACACAAUAAUCUUAGAUCCAAUUGGUAAAAUAUAAUUGCUGAUACUUGUAAUUCCUGAGUAAAUCUGUUUCACUAAUAUUCUUCUCAUUAUAAUGGCAUCUUGGGGGGGGGGGGUUGGGGAUUUAGCUCAGUGGUAGAGCGCUUGCCUAGCAAGCACACGGCCCUGGGUUCAGUCCCCAGCUCUGAAAAAAGAAAAAAAGAAUAAUGGCAUUUUGGGAAGAGUUAUCCCAAAGGCAGACUCCAGUAUUGAAGAUUAUUUAAAAAUACCUUUUAACAGAUUUAACAGGUUAGUCACAACGGAGGUUAUUAUGUGGACCAAGUUGCUUUCGUAUCAUCAAGUUCAUCUCCAUCCUUCUCUUGUUCUACUCCACCAAAUAAAGCAUUUCUUCCCCAGCAACUUUAUCCUUUGGCUGCCAGGGAGGCAGAUGAGAGUAAGGCAGAAGCCAGGACACCUCUCCAGCUCUUGAUCCGGAGGCAUCUUAGUGUCCUCAGGACAUCCCCCUUCAGAAACAGUAGCAGCUUUUCAUUAGCCUUGUUAAUUAUCUGUGUGGUACUGGAGUGUGAAUUCCCCAUCCUGGUGGCCAGUUAAUUUUCCUUCCUUGGCAAUGCCUUUCAAUUUAGCCCAGGCCAUCUGCUUCUGGAAAGUGAUCUUUUGUAUGAAAUCUUGCCUCAAACCAGUUCUCUUGGGCCUUUUCAGUUUAACGUUUACUUUUUCUGCUCCACCAGGGACAACUUGCUCUUGUUUACUAAAGAACGUUCACCAAAGGCCUCUGAAGACCUCUAAAAAUUCAUCAGAGGUCAAAGAAGGCAAUUUUUAUCCAAUUCAGGAGGGUGGAAGGGAAUCAGAAUCUUGGGAUUGCUGUUGGUCAGGAAGCAGAGCAAGGCAUGCCUGAAUAGUCCUGACGCUGCUUUUAGGAGGAUGAAGUGGACCUGGAGAUGUUGGUGGAAAGCAAGCACAGUGCCGGUGAUGCUGGGAAGGUAAUGAUUUCUUUUUUUUUUUUUUUUUUUUUUAAAGAUUUAUUUAUUUAUUAUAUAUAAGUACACUGUAGCUGUCUUCAGAUACACCAGAAGAGGGCAUCAGAUCUCUUUACAGAUGGUUGUGAGCCACCAUGUGGUUGCUGGGAAUUGAACUCAUGACCUCUGGAAGAGCAGUCGGGUGCUCUUAACCGCUGAGCCAUCUCUCCAGCCCAUGAUUUCUUAUCUGUGGUUGUAAACUAUCUUUCUUCCCUUUCCCUGUCACAGACAUAAUUAUGGGAUGUUUUGUCUCCAUUUGUCUAGUACAGAGAACAUAAUGGCCUUCUUUCUGAUUGUUCAGGUUGGAAAGAAGUGCGUUCGUUCAGUUGUCCCAAUUUUUAGCUGUCUGUGGCCAGAUUUAUGUUUCAAUUGACCUCGCAGACUUAUGGUGAAGACUCGAUAUAAUUGUAUGAUGACACUUGAAUGUUCAGAGAAAUACACUUGACAUUCGGUACCUGUGCUGUUUAUUUUUCUGUUGCUGCCAAAGUUACAGAAGACGGAGUUUAUUUUGGCUUACAGUUCAAGGGGAUUACAGUCCAUAAUGGUGAGGACAGCAUGACAUCAGGCAGCUACAAAAGGAAGCUGAGAGAUCGGAUCUUUAAACAUAAAUGAAGAACAGAGAGAAAAUUGCAAGUGGGGCAAGGCAAUGACUUUUUUUUUCUCCAUCUUUAUUAAAUUGGGUAUUUCUUAUUUACAUUUCUUUUUUUUUUAAAGAUUUAUCUAUUUAUUUAUUUACUUAUUUAUUUACUAUCUGUAAGUACACUGUAGCUGUCUUCAGAGACACCAGAAGAGGGUGUCAGAUCUCAUUACAGAUGGUUAUGAGCCACCAUGUGGUUGCUGGGAUUUGAACUCAGGACCUCUGGUAGGGCAGUCAGUGCUCCUAACCACUGAGCCAUCUCUCCAGCCCUCUUAUUUACAUUUCAAUUGUUAUUACCUUUCCUGGUUUCGAGGAAAACAUCCCCCUAGCCCCUCCCCGUCCCGUUCUAUAUGGUUGUUCCACUCCCCAUCCUCCUCCCAUUACCGCCCUGCCCCCAACAAUCCCGUUCACUGGGGGUUCAGUCUUGGCAGGACCAAGGGCUUCCCCUUCCAUUGGUGCCCUUACUAGGCUAUUCAUUGCCACCUAUGCAGCUGGAGCCCAGGGUCAGUCCAUGUAUAGUCUUUGGGUAGUGGCUUAGUCCCUGGAAGCUCUGGUUGCUUGGCAUUGUUGUUCAUAUGGGGUUUCAAGCCCCUUCAAGCUCUUUCAGUCCUUUCUCUGAUUCCUUCAACGGGGGUCCUGUUCUCAGUUCAAUGGUUUGCUGCUGACAUUCGCCUAUGUAUUUGCCAUACUCUGGCUGUGUCUCUCAGGAGAGAUCUACAUCCGGUUCCUAUCAGCCUGCACUUCUUUGCUUCAUCCAUAUACAGCUUGGUGGCUGUAUAUGUAUGGGCCACAUGUGCAGCAGACUCUGAAUGGGCAUUCCUUCAGCCUCUGUUCUAAACUUGGCAAUGACCUUUAAAGCUCAUCCUCAGCAACAUACUUUCUCAGAGCAGAUGUACCACCUCCCCAAUGAAUGUCACCAAAUAGUAUAAUACCCAAGUCUAUGGGGGACAUAGCUUGUUCAAAACACUGCACUAUCUAAGAACAUUUUAUUGAUACUGAUGUCAGGAACAGACUUCGAUGGUAUCUGGGGCUGCUUGUACUGGCUCAUAGGAGUGAGCUGUGCAAAUAUCUUUCCAACUCUACAUUGGGUGACAUAAGUGACUUUAUAAUGAAUGUUCUUAGGUCUGGGGUACAAGGGGGACACUGAGGCAGAUUGCCCUUUUGGGUAAGAGGUUUAUUAGAAGAGAUAGUCACAGUGUUGUAGUUUGCUUUUCUGUUGCAGUGGCAAACAUCACAGCCAAAAGCAAAUGGAGUACACAGGGGUUUAUUUCAGCUUACAGGACUGCAACUCAUCAUGAAAGAAAUCUGGGCAGGAUGUGGUGUCAGGAAAGGAAACAGAAAUUUUGUAGAAACAACUGCUUACUGGCUUGCUCUUUAUGGCUUGCUCAACCUCAUUUCUCAAGCAACCCAGGGCCAGCAUCUGCCCAGGGGAGGCACUGCUCAUAUUGGACAUGUCAGUCAUCAAUCAAGGAAAUGUUUCUCAGACAUAUCCAUUGGCCAAGCUAAUCAAAGGGAUUCCCCAAUUGAAUCUCUCUCAGCUGGGUGUGUCAAGUUGACAGCUGAAGCUAAUCAGGAGAAAUGCCAUGGACAAACAGCUGUAGGAAAGAGGCUACUACAGGGGAACAGGGCUGUAUCAAUAUAUGUAUAACCUGAAUCAGCUAUGGUGAGAGGAUUUGCCCCUCUGAAAUUGGCAAGCUCUUGACCAGCAUUGUGUUUUUUUGCCCAACAGUGGCUGCUAAAUAUGUGUCAGUAUACUCCUGCUUGGGAAUUGUCUGGAGAGUGAGCUACCAAUGACAACAUAAAUGUGACAACAGACUGCUACUUUACUCUUUGAUUUGAUGACAGUGGGAAACAUGUUUAUCUCUGACUCUCCAACUCCUUUCCACUACUGCAAUGAUCAAGUUCAUUAUAACAAGGAAAUAUAGCCUAUACUCAGCUUCCUACACAGGAUCAGAGACAAGUUUUUCAAUACAUUAAUUUAAAACCCUUUACAAUUCCCAGUAGCAAUCCUGGGCCAUCUUUCCCUUUCUCCUUUUCUUCUCUUCUUUCUUCUUCAACUUGGAAAGUGAAAUUUAAUUUUUCAUUUUUAGAAAGGUGACCAUUUUUAUAGCAGCAGUCUUCUGUUCACAGUAUCAAGUUUAUUUCAGAUCUGGAGGAGAAAGAGAGAAAGAAAGGAAGAAAGAGAGAGAGAAAGAAAGAGAGAGAGAGAGAGAGAGAGAGAGAGAGAGGGAAAGAAUUUAAAAAAAACAAAACAAAACAAAAAAAAACUCCUCGGCUUUCAGAGCUUUCCUAGGCAGGUCCUUUUUGGUUGGAAUCUAAUAACCGUCGGCUCCACGCCAGACAAGGAACCGUUUCCUGUACAGAGUUCAGAGACCACCUUUGUCAGCGUCCUUUGAAGGACAGGAACGAAGAAAAGGACUUGUUGAAAUCACUAAGGUGUGGCUGAGUAAUAGUAGAAACUUAAUUUCAUAGAUUGGGUUAAACAGCAAUUAAAUAAGUCUUUAGGGUGACCUUGUGGCGCAACGGUAGCGCGUCUGACUCCAGAUCAGAAGGUUGCGUGUUCAAAUCACGUCGGGGUCAGUGUUUUAUACUUGCGAUUACUCUUCAAAGAGUAGGAAAAGAGUCCUUCCUCUCAGUUUACAAUGCCGAAUUAUUGUAGUUAUAAGAAAGAAGAAUCCAGGCAGGUACCCACAAGUAAUUUAGUAACUUACUACAAGCAUUUUGAAUUUCGGUACCCACUCUUGUUCCUGUUUUAACCCCAGAUGCUACUCUUCUAUACUCGCAACGUCUCCUAUAGCAACCGCUAGCCUUUGUAGACUCUUACUUAGUCUCUAUAUUUAAAAAACAAAAGUGUACAAACGUGCCAGCACUUACUGCUCUAUGGCACCAGAUCUACCAGAGCACCAGCACGUUUAUUUCUUCAGAAGAAUUACGUUUGUUAGACCUAAGAGGGUGGGGGAAACAUUUCCACGACUGUCUAAUUAAAAGGAAACUUUACUUAGACUGACCAAACGGCUGCCUCAACCCUAAGUCAGGAUUUCAGAUAGCGGCCUUCACUGGAUUUUGAGGUUCCUUUCCUGGAGAAGGGUUAGGGUUGAUAGAAAACAGCUGUCGAGAUAAUUGGCUGUUGGCACUUGAACAGAAAGAGGGAGGGAGGUGUCAAGGCUCAAGGCUGCGUAUGGGGUAGAUAAGCAUGAUAGAACACAGCUGUCGGGAUAACUGGCUGUUAGAAAGGAGGCAAGAAAAAUAAGUGCAAGACUACUUCAUGUAGGAGAGUCAUCAAGGUAUCUGAGAAGUCACAUUUUCAUAAGGCAAAAGGGCAAUCAUAUUUGGCAAACAGGAGGUGAGCAAGGCACAAAAGGGUGGACACACAUCAUGAGGUUCCGAGUCUAGGUUGAAAACAUAGUUUGCAGGAUACAAUUAGGCUUAGGAAACAGAAAUGUAUUCUUAUAAGGUAUGGAGACUGAAUAACAGCGUGGGAAAAUGACUCCUGUUUGGGUUUCACACUUUGUACUGAUGAUUUUUAAAAUCAGGAAUUCGAUCUGUCAGCAGAUGAUAUAAACGAGGUACUGCACACAACCAAUUAUUUUUGUUUGUUUUCCGGUUUUGUUUUAUUUUGUGACAGGGUUUCUGUGUGUAGCCUUGGCUGGCCUCCAGCUGAGCCUCUCCUGGUCUAAGGAUUAAAGGGGUGACCCAUCCAGCCCCCUACUGUCUGCUAUUUUUUUCUAUUUUAAGAAUUAUUUUCUGUGUAUGAAUAUCUUCAUGUAUGCAUAUGCACCGUGUGCCAAGGAAAUCAAAAGAAGAUAUUGAGUUCCCUGGAACUGGAGUUAUAUUAUAGAUGGUUGUGAGCCACCGUGUGGGUACAGGGAAUUAUACUCAGGCUUUAUACAAGAGCAACCCGUAAUCUUAAUUACUGAGCCAUCUAUCUCUACAGACCCUUUUUUUUCUAUUUGCAAUAGUUGUGGUGCUCUUGAUCCAUGGAGAUUUCAGAAGGAUUACAUGCCAUAUAGCAAUUUAGAAAAGGUUUUAAAAAGAAGUGGGGGGGGGGUAUCAAAAGAUAAUUAGCACAGUAGCUUUACUACAGUAGCGUGCUGGGCCCAUAACCCAGAGGUCGUUGGGUCGAAACCAUCCUCUGCUAGAAUUUUUCUUCUAGGAACAUAUUUUGAGUCUUCCUAAUCCGAGUGCAUCUCUGGUAUAUAUAAAGUAUUAACAAUAAAAGAAGGGAUUGACCAAGGGCAGAGAGUUGUUGAGAAGAUUGUACAGAGGAUACUUAUUUCUGUAGAUGAGGCUUGAUAUUAAGGGAAGUCCUUAAGGAGAGGAGUGUGAGUCACAGUCACCUACUGCAGUGAUGCUCUUUGAAGAAAAACAACCACUAUGUAUGAAAGAAGUGUGGCGAAGUUAAAUUCUAGCAGAUAUUUUUUUGUAUAAGGUAAAAUGUAUAAAAACAAUUAAUUUACAGAAAUAUAAUACAGGAAAAAAACUUGAGCAUUCCUAAACAAGAUAAAGCAAAAUAAGGAUGCCGAGCCAGCCAGGAGUCGAACCUGGAAUCUUCUGAUCCGUAGUCAGACGCGUUAUCCAUUGCGCCACUGGCCCAUCUCUAGAUCUAUGUACAUAAAGAAAGAGGAAGUGACAGUAUUAUGUUGAGGUUCUAAGGUUACACUUGGGAAAUACUAUUUAUUUCAUUUCAAAGAAGAUGCAAAACUAGAAGUAAAACUAGAAGUUUUACUGGUGUCUUUAAAUUAAUUUACUUUCGUUCAAUUUCUUCAUGAGAAAAACAUCUAAAACGCCGAUUAGGAAGUUUAUUAUGAAAUAGCAAUUCUAUUAUUUUAAGUGAAUUCCAACCAGGAAGUUUAUAUCUACUCCAGUGAAAUGGAGAAGUCAUUGAUGUCAUUUAUAAAACAUCCGAGGUGGACUAUUUACUCUCAAGUAGAGUUGGAAAUCACAAAAGCCCACAGCCGUAGUCGGCAGGAUUCGAACCUACGCGGGGAGACCCCAAUGGAUUUCUAGUCCAUCGCCUUAACCACUCGGCCACGACUACAAGUGCUAUAACUUUUCUUCAGGAUUCAGUAUUCUACAUCUUAAUGUAUAUCACACAUUGACUACCCUUCUGGUAUUAUUAAGGAUUUGUAAUUUGUUGAAUUCAUGAUCUACCAAUGGAAUCAGAGAGGAAUCAAAUUUAAUUCCAUACAUGAAAGUGGGGACUUGAAGGACAUUGUUUGAUUCUUUAGAAAACAAAUCCGCAAUAUGUUCUAGGAACUGUAUCACAAGCCAAAACUUGUGAUAUUUAUCCUCACGCGUCCCAGAAACAUUAAAUGUCACAAAUUUUAAGUCUGACAGAGGAGGGUUGUUCUUCAGAAAUUCACAUGUACAACUAGUUAAUCCAGUACUUGCAAUACAGCUUAAAUAAAACUUAACUGCCAUUAAAAUUAGCAUUUUAAAAUUCCAUCGAAACAUUUUACAGGUGAGACUAUCGUUUGUUUAUUUGUCUAGCUGUAGAUAUUUUUAGACCAUUAAAAAUAUUUCUGAGGGACUGGAGUGAUAGCUCAGAGGUUAAGAGCACUGAAUGCUCUUCCAUAGGACUUGAGUUCAAUUCCCAGCAACCACAUGGUGGCUCACAACCAUCUAUAGUGGGACUAAUGCCCUCUUUUGGUGUGUCUGAAGAUAGCUACAGUGUACGCAUAUACAUUAAAUAAUAAAUAAAUCUUUUUUUAAAAAUUUAUCAGUACAUUGUUGCUCUCAGAUCUUAUUUCAGAUGGUUGUGAGCCACCAUGUGGUUGCUGGGAAUUGAACUUAGGACCUCUGGAAGAGCAGUCAGUGCUCUUAACCGCUGAGCCCAAUAAAUAAAUCUUUAAAAAAUUAUUUCUGAGUGAAGUUAGAAAAUAUUUUUGAUGGUUAAAUCCUUUUCAUUCUGAGGGAUCUUCUCUCAUAGAAGGACGUAUCUAAUAUUUUGCAGAUAAUAAUUUAGAAAUACAAAGAUCAUUCCCAAUGACAGGACAGAACCUCACAAACUUCACUUUUCUGAAACUUGAGUACCGUGGUCACAAUACUGUCCUGUUUAUGCAUUCGUGAGAACACAAGGACUUCCGUUUCAUCUAAGGCUGAGAAACCACCGCUCGUGUUUUCUCUCCUAGGCUCCAGAAUAUUUAGGUGCCCUAGUCAUUUCUUUUUUGCUUGUCCCCAAAGUAACACUUUCUAACUCCAAAGGUUCCACCCUCCCAGGUAUGGCAGUAUGUGCCUGUAAUUCCAGCCGCCUCGGAGGCUAAGGCAAGGAGAUAACUGAAUUGGGGGAUAGACUUGGCUACAUAGUUAGAGGUUAUCUCAUGCUACAUAGUGAUGCCCUGUCACAAAGGAAUUAAAAAUUAAAAGAAAAAAAAAUCCCGCCACAACCUUCAAGAUUUUUUUAAGUAUCAACAUUUACAGACGCGAUUAAAAUGAAACGUGCUGCGUGUUCCAGUAGCCGAGAAACUCGCUCUAGAUCCCACCCACGGAGGUCUUAGCGUAUUCCCUACAGUCACUGUAGAACCCAAGGUGCGUGAAGACAGCUGCCAAUUCUACAUUUGAUUUAAAUGUUACUGUUGUUGUUAAACUCUGAAUUUUGCAUGGGGAGCUUGAUAAAUAUUCAUAGAAUGAAUUAUACCUAAGCUCAGAUCUGAAUGUGUAUGACGGAGCCAAGCUGGAGGCAAUGAAGUUGUGUUCUAAACUUAAACCUCAUGGAACGUGGCACCAGAGGAAGAAAGAUCUGCCUAUGAGAAUUGCUUUUUGAAAGACAACGAGAAAUCACAUUGGAGACAUCGUGGAAGGUGGAUUAUGUCUACCACACGGUUGUUCUUCCUUCUACAGAGAAGAUUACCUCAUAAUGAAAAGGAUUUGAUCAUCAAAACUUUUUACUAAUUUCCCUCAGAAAUAAUCCUUUCUGGGGUUAAAAUAUUUUCAGCCAGAUAAAGAAACAAAAGAUAGUCUUGCCUGUAAAAUAUUUUGGUGGAAUUUUAAAAUGCUAAUUUUACUGGCAGCUGUUUCAGCUUGACCUUUAUCCCACCUAGUAUUUUUUGUCCUCCCAGCCAGACCACUUGUCAGGCUAGAAAACAUGCAGCCACACUUCCUCAUGAAGCAAACACUUCUUUCUUCACCCUGAUCCUUGCUUUGUUUACAGCCAAUGUGCUCAUCCUUAGGGCUCUUUUUUGUGAGUAGCUUUUGCCUUGCCUUGCCUUGCCUCUCUCUCUGUCUCUCUCUGUCUCUCUCUCUCUCUCCCUCCCUCCCUCCCUCUGUCUCUCUCUCUCUGUCUCUCUGUCUCUCUCUCUCUCUCUCUCUCUCUCUCUCUCUCUCUCUCUCUCUCUUUUCCUCUCCUUCCCUCUCUCCCUCUUUCUUUCCUUUUCAAAUUCAUUUUUUUAGACAGAUUUAUUUAUCUUAUUAUAUACACUGCAGCUAUCUUCAGACCCACCAGAAGAGGGCAUCAGAUCUCGUUACAGAUGGUUGUGAGCCACCCACCAUGUGGUUGCUGGGAUUUGAACUCAGGACCUCUGGAAGGGAGGUCAGUGAGCCAUCUCUUCAGCCCUCCUUUUUAAAUUCAAACAGGAAAAAAAAAAUUGAGUAGGGUCUUGCUUUGUAGCCCAGGCAGGCCUACCACUUGGAAUCUUCCAGCCUCAGCCUGAGGGCUGAGAUUACGGGUAUAGGCUACUACACUCAGCAAAAUAUUUAUUAUGAUAUUUUCAAUAUAUAAUGAAAGUGGAAAUGGAAUUAUUUAUAUAUUCAUCAUCCACAGUCAACAAGUAACUGUUUAUUAGUUUCAUCUAGUUUUUAAAUUUUUUUACUGAACAACAUUAAAUUAAUUUAGGGACAUAUGAUUAAUAUAUAAACAUGUCAUGUAUCACAUGAACAUAUAUUGAUACAGCCACUGUGCCCUUGUCCAAUUGAAGACGCUGUAACAAUUCUUUACAGGUAUCUAGUAAUGUUUUGUUGUCUUUUACGUUUCUUUAAAAUAUAAGGUUUUUUCCUUUCCCCUUCUUUUUCUUCUCCGACUCCCUCUGAGACCUUGUUUCAUUCCGAAGUCCUUGCUGAAACCCCUUGUGUAGACAGUGAGAUCUUUAAACUUGUGAUGAUGCUCCUGCCUCUGUAUUGGGAUUACAAGAAUAGUAGUUGUUUUUUAUUCCGCCCCUGGUUCAAGUUGCUUCAUACUGUUUGACAGUAAUGGCUACUUCAGUCUCUGAGUUUGAAGUUUUCCAGAGUUUUCGCUUUGUUAUUUUGCUCUGCUACAAACUUUUUUUAAAAAGUCUUCUUUGUGCUUACCCGGUAUUAAGGUUACAUCAAGAAGCAGUUGUCAGAUGACCUAUUGUCAAAGAUGAAAAGCAAAAGCCACUAUCCAGAUCAACCACGAAGGGAUUCGAACCCUCAAUCUUCUGAUCCGAAGUCAGACGCCUUAUCCAUUAGGCCACGUGGUCCCACAUGGAGAAUAUGCUGCUCAUGUAUUAUUGGAAAACAAUCUUUUCUCUUUGCGCUUUAUGGUGAUUGAUGUUAUUACAAAUUUAUCAGUGAACUAUGUUUAAAUCUAAUAUCAUGGAGUUCUUUCUGAUCAGGAACUCUCGAAUAUAGAAAUUUGAUGCACCAAUUAUAGUUGUUUUUGUUGUUGUUUUUAAAUCGUUAGAUCAGAAGCAAGAAUAAAAGGCCACUACAAGCGCAAGGGCUUCCACGGGGCAUUAAAGGAAGGGAGCCACUGCUGCACACACAGACCGUGUACCACUCACUGCCCUGCAAUGUUUCCAGGUCAGGAAUUCAACUUGUGCACUGGACAGACCCACCCAAAUAAAUCUAAGACAUAAAUUCAGAUAGUAUAAAAGACACUCAUGAACAGAGACCAGAACUUUUAUAAUCUGGACGGUUGAGGGAGGAGCAACAGGACCUGUUAGGCCUCAGAAGGCUCAGCUUCAAACUAAGACGACGGUGAAGGUAAUGGGGCUGGUACCAUCUGCCUCUUCUGCUUCCACUGUGUAGUUUCUCAUUCAGUAGGGGACAGCACUGCGCUGGGCUGAGGCGACCUUCAGGUGCUCUACUGUGUCCUCCAGAUUCCUUAGAUUCAUGUGUCUAAACCUAGAUCUUCUGAAUGUCACUGUACUGGAAGAUGAAUUCUUUAAAGAGGCGACAAGGCAAAACGUGACUGUCAUUCUUACAUUCUAACAAGAAGAGUAUAUUAGAACACUGGUCCACAAAGAAAACCACAUAAAGAAGAUCAUUGCCUGCAAGCCAGGGGAAAGAAUCCUUAGGGAGGAUAUAUAUAUGUACAUAUACAGUAUCUAUUCAGUAUAUACUGUGUGCACAUCAGUAUAAACUAUAUGUAGGAUAUAUACUAUAUAUGUAUAUAUUUAUAUCAGUAUAAUUUUUAAAAAGUAGAAAAACAAAUUAGAAACAAAGUAGAAAAAGAAAUUCCUGUUGUUCAAAUACUGCACCUUACAGUAUUCAUUAUGGCCGCCCUAUAUGACUACUACUUUGUCUAACACAAUCCUAGAAGGUCAGAAGUUGUGUCUCUCUCCCUUUUCCCCACUUCCUUCUGCUCUUCCCAGGUUGUCGCACUGUAGAUUGGAAUAUCCUGGAAUUCGCUAUAUAGCCUAGACCAUCCUCACACUGGAAGCUUAUCUUCAUAAGAAUGUGUUUCUAGCCUGGUUUUGCCUGUUACUCCUUUUAAGAGUUCAUUUCAGCUUGUAGAGAAAGAACACCAAGUCUCAAAUCUGACUUGAGGAAUAAACUUUGAAGAUAUUAAUGGUCUGAAGAGCAAGAAAUAAAGAAAUCAAAGAACACACGACAGUAAGCAAUGAGGUGGGGCAGGGGAAACUCCCAAACGUUUUCCUCUGGCUCAUGUGGACAUUUGAUCAAAACACGUUCUUUUGAUUCAUCUUCAGAUUCUACAGCAAGAAAAUUUCCUUUUUCUCAAUUCCCAGCUAAAAGAGGGUUCUGUAAUGUACGUAAUUUCCAGUAUUAGUCAGGAAGAUGGUUGCAAAUUUGAAGCAAGACCCUGUCUCAAAACUCCUAAUAAUGGGCUCUUGGGCACUCAAAUUCAAGUAAGUAGCUACUUUGCUUCGAAAUACAAUCCUUUAGAAGACCCAGAACCCCUUCCCCAAACCCGACCCUAGUAACAACAGCAAUAAUAGAUCAGCUGUUCUGCUGACCCUGGGGUAAUUGCCCACAGAAUCGAGGAUUACCUCGGUGAGUGUGCUUUCUUUGUAUCAUUGCUGUGAACGGAGCGAUCUGUGUAGGCAUUAUGGAAGCUAGUGGAGUAUGACCUGGAGGCGAGGCUUUAGGGCUAAUAGUAGCCCUCCAGGCAGAAAAUGGUCGCACUCACAGGCCAAUUCUCCUGGCUCACUGCAAAGCUAGAAGUUUGGUCUAGGGUUAGAAGAGAUGUUUCUUGGUUCUGUUUACUGUGACUAUAAAGUACAUUCAUCUACUGUUUUUCUGAAAAUGAGACAAAAUUAGCAAAUGAGAAAACUGUAUGAAAGUAACAAGACAGUUUGAAAGUUAAGGAUAAGUUGGCAGAAUUCCUUACUUUAUCACACAAUGGAGCUAUGAAUUUUGAAAACAUAAAGGAUCAAACUUUGAAACUUUAUUUUAGCACAAGUGGGCAGGUCAUUCUGGAUACUUAGAUGAGCCUGAAAACCCCUUAAGGCUGUGACCUCGUGGCGCAACGGUAGCGCGUCUGACUCCAGAUCAGAAGGUUGCGUGUUCAAAUCACGUCGGGGUCAAGAGUUUUGGUCUAGGUCGGCGAAAAAGAUUCAAAUGAAAUGUUUAUUUAAUUAGUUCCUUGGUUUAAGAUCUGUGCUGAUAAAAAGCGCUGCAUGUUUGCCUUCAGUAAGAUUUCUGUUGUGUCUUAUUCGGGUUUUUACUGGCAUUGAAAAGUGGGUUGCGAGUUCUAGCUUUUGCUACUCUUUAAAAGUGAGUUUGUAGAAAACACAGAACAAGAAUAAAAUUAGAGUGGUUCGCAAGAUCAGGACGGACUGACAGCAAAACUGUGUAACUUGGUAAGGUCUGGGAGCCGUCUGCGGCAUCAAUCAGGAGCAGGGACUAAAAAGUCUGCAAGGAAGGGAUAAACCUCUGUGCUGGUUAGUCUUAUGGCAACUUGACAUAAGCUAAGUGUGAUCUGAAAGGAGAGAACCUCAACUGAAAAAAUGUCUCUUAUAAGAUCAGGCUGUAGACAAGGUCGUAGGGCAUUUUCUCAAUUAGGGAUUGAUGGAGGAGGGGCCAGCUCAUUGCAGGUGGUGCCAUCCCUAGACAGGUAGUUCUGGGUUCUGUAAAAGAGAGGGCCGAACAAGCCAGUAAGCAUCACCCUUCAUGUCCUGAGUUCCUCCUGUCCUGACUACAGUGUGGAAGUAUAAACCCUUUCCUCCCCAGCUUGCUUUUUAGGCCUAGUGUUCAUCGCAGGAAUAGAAAUCCUAACUACGAACAACUCUGAAUGUUCCAGGAAGCUCAUCGGGUUGUAGUCCCUAACGUGUUUUAACUCAAGACUUUAGUACACUAGCAACUCCGGACCUUUCUGGUGACCUCACCUCCCACCAGGAUCUCCUAUCUGUGGCAUGGCUUUGACCUUGGUGAUUAUUGAAAAUUGGGCACCCUGUUUGAUCUGGUUAGCACCCAUAGCUUUCAGGAACAACGCUCCCUAGGAACAUCUACUGGAAUCGGCUUCCCACUCACUGCCUUUCCCACCGCGGACAUUGGCUGCUGUGCCCUGAGCUAUUGGACUCAUUUUACCUCUGCCCAUGUUAAUCCCAACAAAUGAGAGAUCGUUACCCAAAGUCUUUGGUCAAAUUAAGCAAACUUUAUUUUCUGUCACACAGGGCUAACUCCCUAAAGUAGGGUUUGAAAAAAUUUCAUUGGACAUAGGAGGAGGUAGGAUUUAUAAUUAAAAAAACAAAACAAAAACCUGAAGACUAGGGGAUUUUCAAGAGUUUGGGAGAUCUCCAAAGACAUUUGGUUAUGUACAAACUUGACUGAACAUUUUAAAAUUAUUUGGCAGAACAUCUUAUUUUAUCAGGGUAUAUUCAAGGGCCGAGUCAAACAGAUUAGGGUGAAACAGAUUAAAGUGCAGACAACUUGAUUUUUGCACCAAACAGAAACGGACUUGUCUGACCUUGUAACAACAUAUCUUCCAUCCUUAAGAUGGAGUCAGGCUAGUCCAUCACCCACUGUCUGUGGAUAAAUUCUGUCUCCAGUAAUCCAUGGUAUGUAUCACUUAGGCUAAGAUUGCUGUUAAGUUGUUUUCCCCCUUUUUGUGUGUGAACAGUAAAGUGUGCGUUUGAAAAACCAUACCCGACGUGAUGUGUCUGUGAUGUGCAAGUCAUGAAGAUACAGACAUGAAGUUAUUCACCUCUUCCCAGUUUUUUUUUUCUUGCUCAAUAAAAUCUGUGUUUUUACUAUGCUUGCUUUUAAAAGUUAAGAUUGAUUUAUUAGACAAGUUGUGAUUGUGCACAUUUGUGUUUUAAUGGUGUGUAGUGUAUAAUGCGGUUUUAUGGUGUUUUAAUGUUAUGCUUACAUUGAGAUAGUCUAUGUAGCCAAGGCUGGUCUUACCUCUUAUCCUCCUGCUUGGGUUUCUAGAGUGUUGAGAUUACAGAUAUGCACUUGACUUCUAAUUAUCGUUUUUUUUUUUUUCCCCAUGUAAAUCUUACCCUGGCAGCUGCCUGUGCCUGUUAACUAUGUGUUACUGGCCUUUCAGAUCCUGAAGCCUAGUUUGCUUUUUCUCUCCACAGGACUUUUGUGUCUGAUUUUUCUGAGAAUGUGUUCUGAAAAGGUAUUCUCUGCCCUUCGAUGCUUGAUUUAGAUACUUAUUUUUCAGUGCACAACCGAAACAAAUCGGUUCCUCCAAAGCAGCCUUUCUUCUGACUUUAGUCAGAGCUUCACUUUCUGAAUGGCCUCUAUCACCAAGUCCUGGGAAAUCAGUAUGUCUGAAUCUGUAAGCCCAGUGCCUAGCAAAGCAUGUGACAAAUGAAUGAAAAAUAGAAAUAAAACGAAAGGGAAGGGCAUGACUCUCCCUAGGUACGAUGAAAGGGAAAAUUUAUUGUAGAUAAAAGGGGGACAUAGCCAGAGGUAGACAAAACUGGGAAAGUCCUUAGUGGUCAAGACCCUGAUCAUGUGGGAGAGGGGGAUAGGAAGGUAGAGAGUCACAGGAAGGGACAGAAGGAACCAAGUACAGCAGCUAGGGGGCCACAGGUACAAAAGGGAUGAGUAACCAAAAUAGAUCAUACAGGAAAGAGCCUCUGGGGGAAGGGCAGUCCAGUCCCUGGGCUGGAGAGUUCAGGGUGAAGGGCGGGGUAUGCCAACCAUACCCUGUAACAGGUAGGGACUGAGGGAUGCUGGGAGAACCUGGAGGCCAGGUCUGAUUUGAUAUGUUAAACAGACAUCUCAGAGGUUUGUCCAGGGUUUGAAACUUAACAGUGUACAGAAGGUACCUAAUUUUGGAGGAAUUAUGGAAGGAGAUGGAAGAUAUAUAUCACAAAAUACUACUAAAGAGUUUAGGAAAGAUAUUGGAAGUGUAGCUCAGUGGUAGCACACUGACCUGAUAGAGCUUCGAGCAGAAACCUCUAGUAAGGAUAGGGCAGAGUUGCAGCAUCAAGUAAUGUCACUAGCCUGAGGUACUCUCUUGGUUUUCUUCUCUUUCUCUUUUCUUCUCUUCAGUUUUUCAAGAGAACAGUGUUUUUCCUGUGUAACAGUCCUGACUGUCCUGGAACUCACUCUUAUAGAUCAGGCUGGCCUCAAACUCAAAUUCACAGAGAUUUCUGCCUAUCUCUGCCUGUCUCCCAAGUGCUGGGAUUAAAGACCUGCACUACCUCUGCCCUACUGGUGUGUUUGCUAGCCUAUCCUAAAUCAUACAUUGUAAAUUAUUUUCACUGUGGCAUUUUUUUUUACAUUAUAGAGUGUAUUUUGAUCAUAUCCAUCCCUUAUCACCUUAUCUUGUCUCCCCCACUUCUUCCCAAUCAGACACCUUCUAUUUUCAUGGUAUAUGUUUGUGUCUGUGUGUUCCAGUUUUGUCAAGGAUGCUUAUAGGAACAUGACUAAGGAUUACUUAAAGUAGGAUAGGCUUUGGAACUCACAAUUCCCACACAACCUAUUAAUUGCUUAUAGAUCCUCAGGGCACGGUAGAGCCCUAGGAGCCUCUUCUACCUCCUUCACAGGACCAAUCAAAUGAAAGUGAUCACAGCAGCUGAGAAAUCAAAAGUGCAACAAAAGCUUUAUCCUGCCUGGAAGACAACAGUCCAUGUAAAUCCUUCCUCUCUUCUCCCUCUUCUGAGAUAUUCCUUGAAUCUUGGAGGGGGUAAUAACAGAUUUCCAAUUUUUGGUGGAGCUCCUUCUUCUCAGCAUCGUGGCCAGAUAUAAAUCUCUGCAGUUACCACUUCUCACUACAGAGAGCAGCUUCUCACUGUACUAAUCUGUGGUUGUAAGUACAGACAAUUGUUAGAAGGCAAUUUAACAAAACAAUAACAAUUGUUUUCUCAUUAUGGCCUGUGACCUCCAAAAUCUGGGGAUUUUUAAAUUAUCAGAAGUGAAUUCUCUUUUCUGGGGUAGGACUCAAAUUCAACCAGUUAUCUCCAUAACAGAACUGUCACUGCUACAUCAGUAGGCAUGCCUUGCCUGGCUGCUUAGGAGGGUAGGAUGUCAUUUCACAACAGAGUGUGAUUACAUUUCAUAACAGAGUGUCAUUACCACCACCACAAACACCAGUCUGCAUAGAACCAUCCAGAAUUAUGAGGACUGUCCAGGAAGAAGGAAGAUUCUAGUUCGGUUCUAGCUUCAUUUCUCAGUGUCUAGUCACCAGGGUAUGUGAUGUCUUCAAUGGGGGGUUAACCUUCUAGUUCCGGUGGGCAACCAGGGGCAGUGGUAAUGACCAGUAUUGUUUCUAAGGCUUGAGGAGGCCUCCCUGGCCAACAAUCUAUAGAGAAGUAGCACAUCCCUUUUUGGGUUUUCUCUUCAUAGCCAGUGGCUUCUAGUAACAUCUUUAUCCAUUCACAAAUCUGCUAGAACUUUAUUUAUUUUGUUUGUUUAUUUAUUUAUUUGCAUUGCAUUUAGUUACCAUGUACAGAUGUGUGGGAAGGUCAGAGGACAACUUACCAGAAUUGGUUCUCUUUUUCUACUGUGUGGGUCCUGAGACAGUGUCUCACUAGGUAGCCUUGGUUGGCCUAGAACUUGCUAUAUACAAUAAGCUGGCCUUGAACUCACAGUGACACCCUUUCCUUUGCCUCCCAGUGCUGAGAUGAAAGGCCCACAUCACUCUAUCCAUAUUUGUGGCUAUCUUACAAAUACAAAAUGAACUCACAUUUUAUUCUAUCCAAUAUCUAGUGAGCAAGUGUAUAAGCUAUCACAACCACUUAGAAGGAGAACUAAUGUGUACACACAGAUGCACAUGCAAACACACACACACACACACACACACACACACACACACACACACACACACACCCCAAGACACAAGAGGGAAAGUAGAGAAGAGAGAAUGUCUUGUGUAUUGUAUCAGCGCAGUAACCCUCAAUAAAAUGCUGAUUGGCCAAUAAGCUUACACAGAAAAUAGAAGGUAGGGCAUCCAGUAGGGAGAUGGACUCCUGGGACAGGGCAAAAGAGGGAGAUUGGAGGUCAUAAGUAUGGGAGCUGAGCAGAGGUAAUCAGUCACAUGGCACAACUUAGGUUAGAAAGUCCCUAGGGCAUAGUGGUACAUGAAGGGGAGGCAGGCAAGUCUGAGCUCUUGACCAUCGUGAUCUAUGUAUGAAUUCCAGGGCAGACAUGGCCACAUAGCAAAACCAUUUUUCAAAACCAAACCAAACCAGCAUCAACUAAAAACCAAGUAAACAAAACAAGAACGAACUUGAAAGAUGUGUGAAGUCACUGUUUUCUACAUCGAUUAAAUUUCACAGCAUGGGGCUGGAGAGAUAGCUCAGCGGUUAAGAGCACUGACUGCUCUUCCAGAGGUCCUGAGUUCAAAUCCCAGCAACCACAUGGUGGCUCACAACCAUCUGUAAUGGGAUCCAAUGCCCUCUUCUGGUGUGUCUGAAGACAGCUACAUGUAUAUAACAAAUAAAUAAAUCUUAAAAAAAAAAUUUCACCACAUGUCCGACUAAUGAUUCUACUUAAUACAGCAUACACCUCUUGGCAGGAGAUUCAACAAUAUUUUAAUAUGUUUGUUUUUGUGAUUUGUCACCUAAAAUUUUCAGAUAUGUAUAGUAAAGUUUUUCUUGAAAAGUGGAAAAUAUAUUUUGUUUUGUUUUUGUUUUUCAUGUCCCAGUAACCCAGCAAUCCUGCAACAGCAAACAUGAUAGCAAAUCCAACAGCAGCAAGGGGAGAGUCAAAAGGGGCAGUGGUCACCAUGGGCCCUCUCAGGGGCUCUUCCAUUUAUACCCUCUCCAGAGUUUCCAGAAUUAAACUAUCUGGAACUGGCAAAAACACACCCCCUCCUCCAGCACAAGGCAACCAUAGUUAAUGGCCAUGGAUCAACUGAAACAGCCCUCUAUCCCACACCUGGGGUUAAAAUACAAACAGUCAUAUAACAUAACUGUCUUGUUUUGUUUUUUUACCCCUCCCCCAUAACUGAGUUUUUUAAGAGGUCAAAACUUUCACUACAUAGGGUUUCCACUGUGGAGCAAAUAUCAGGCCAGUGUCGAGAAGAGCCAGUAUUAACUGGUGACUAGGAUAAAGUAUGGUAUUUACAAGAACAAGCCCAUACUUGACCCAGUUAUAGAGGGAGCUGUAAGAGAUGGCACUCUCUGGCCGAUAGUGGGAGGGGCAGAGUGCAGAGGUCAGGCCUGAGUUCAAAGAAUGUGGGCACCAAACAAAGCUUGGUAUAAAAAACAACCCCAGAACUGUUUGAUUUAAGGACAAGGAGGUGGGUGGGAAUGCUGAAGGAACUGAAUACCGAUUACAUUCUAGAGUAAGGAUUGUAUAUAGAGAAUGGUAUAAUUUAAAAAAAAAAUGGUUUCUUUAAUUCAACAAAGUAGCAGUGAGAACUUCAGUUGUUGCUGUUGUAUUUUGCAGCAUGGUGCAGAAAAACACCUAAGGAUUAACAAGCAACAAACAAACGCUUGGCCAAUUUAUUCUGCUUCAUUGUCAUUGAUUUUAAGGUGGCUCUGCAUGACUUCUAGUGACCAUAUCUGACAAUGAUUUAACAACUUCAGUAUUUGAAAUGUUAGGUUCUGCCUAGUGGAUUUCUAUAAGGUAUUGUCUCAAAGACUCAAUAAAAUUCAGACUAGUUAGGCACCGUGGCACACACUUUUUAUCCAGUACUCAGGAGUCAGAGGCUGCCCCAUUUCUGUGAGUUCCAGGCCAGAUGGAGUUAUGCAGUGAGACUGUUUCAAAAAACAAAACCAACCAGACAACAACCCCAAACAAACAAACUCCAGACUAGAAUAUGGGUUUUAGUUUCCAAUAGGAGGAGGAAUGUCUUUUGGAGUCAAGGUACGAAAUUUUCAUAUUGUUGUUACAGAACAUGGGGGAGGGGGGAUGAUUUAAAAGAGGAAAGUAUCAGAGACACCGUGAAUACAUUCCAGCAUGGUAAAGAAUAUAUGAGAGUAGGUGAGGUAUGUCAAGGAAGUGAUGAAUUUGUGUGAUGAGCUUGCUUUCUCCUUAUUCAGUCUAGAACUCCAACUCAAGAAAUGGUUGGUUCCAUCCUCAGUUAGGGCAGGUCUUCCCACUCAAGUGACCUAAUCUAGAUGAUCUCUCACAGACACUCCUAGAAUCUUGCCUUUUUAGUAAUUACAGGUCCUGCCAGGUGGGCAAUCAUUAUUAAUCACGGGAAGGGCCUGUAUAUGUAGAUUAGGCCGGGUUUGAACUGAAACUUACUGAUAACUGAGGAUGACCUUGAACCCUGACCUGCGGCCUUAUGGCCCAGGUGAUGGGAUUACAGGGUUGUCCCUCCACAUCCAGCUACAGGUAUUUUAACGUCAUCGUAAGAAAGCUAGAAGAUUGCCUAUCUACCGUUUUUCUCAUUAAUUUUUUAAUGUAAUGGUUUUUAAAUAUUGUGGGAGCUGGUAUUGAAGGUGAGGUUUGAAAAUGUCCUGUAUGGUUUACUCUUCUUAUUAACAUGAGUUUACUUCUUACGUGUUCGUUCUAGCAUUCUGUUCACUAGAUAUUUCCUCAGGAACCAAUUAUGUUGCAAAUAAGUGUUUAUUCCAGAGCUCCGUGAAAUAUUCAUCAAAGUUUCAGUAGAAGACUCCGAAUGACUGCUUCUUGGUUUGUUCUCAGCCUUUGGGAUGGUUAUAAAAUAUUUUGUUCUAUGUGUCCAGUAACAGGCUUCUACCCAAGACCCAAAUGCAUGAUUUUGGAAGGGAAAAUUUUCAGCUUAGGGAUGCCUUCCGAUGACCAAAGUAGUCGACAUCCUUCGCCCUCAUGAGAGAUCCUCCAUCCAGCAGUCAAUCACAGCUACCAAAAACAACUUGUACACCUUGGAAGACCUACACUUCUCUAUUCUGAAGAACGAAUAAGAUAGAUAAGAGGGACUAUAUUGCAGACUUUCAUUUCAUUUCUUUCUUGAAAUGAAAAACUCUUUUUUUUUUGUUAGAGAUAAUCUCUAUUUUCUAAUCAUCUAUUAAAAAUUGUUGGGUAGUCAAUUAGAUAAGAUGGAUGAAGCAAAGAAGUGCAGGCCGACAGGAACCGGAUGUAGAUCUCUCCUGAGAGAUACUGCCAGAAUACAGCAAAUACAUAGGCGAAUGCCAGCAGCAAACCACUGAACUGAGAACGGGACCCCCGUUGAAGGAAUCAGAGAAAGGACUGGAAGAGAUUGAAGGGGCUCGAGACCCCUUAUGAACAACAGUGCCAAGCAACCAGAGCUUCCAGGGACUAAGCCACUACCCAAAGACUAUACAUGGACUGACCCUGGGCUCCAACCUCAUAGGUAGCAAUGAAUAGCCUAGUAAGAGCACCAGUGGAAGGGGAAGCCCUUGGUCCUGCCAAGACUGAACGUGAUUGUUGGGAGGAGGGUGGUAAUGGGGGAGGAUGGGGACGGGAACGCCCAUAUAGAAGGGGAGGGGGAGUGGCUAGGGGAAUGUUGGCCCGGAAACCGGGAAGGGGAAUAGCAAUUGAAAUGUAAAUAAGAAAUACUCAAGUUAAUAAAGAUAAAAAAAUUGUUGGGUAGUAAUUUUCUGGUUGUUGACUUUUUCCCUUUACAAACUGACCAAAAAGAUUGAUACUAUGUAAUAAUAGCUAAGUAAGGAGAAAGAAGAUGGUAUCUUCAGGUGGUAUUGGUGGUUCAGUGGUAGGAUUCUCGCCUGUCACGCGGGAGGUUCGAGUUUGAGUCCCGGCCAGUCCAUAGCGAAGCAUUUAUAAAGAUUUAUUUUAAAUAAAACCACCAGAAAGAAACAAAACAAGGACAACAGAACAAAAACAAAACAAACAAGCAAAUAAAAA